UACAGAGGGUGCGAGCGUUGUCCGGAAUCACUGGGCGUAAAGGGCGCGUAGGCGGCUCGGUAAGCGUGCGGUGAAAGCCCGGGGCUCAACCCCGGGUCGGCCGUGCGAACUGCGGAGCUGGAGCACUGUAGAGGCAGGUGGAAUUUCGGGUGUAGCGGUGGAAUGCGUAGAGAUCCGGAAGAACACCGGUGGCGAAGGCGGCCUGCUGGGCAGUUGCUGACGCUGAGGCGCGAAAGCUAGGGGAGCGAACAGG
rnacentral:rRNA from 1 species